AUUGAACGCUGGCGGCAGGCCUAACACAUGCAAGUCGAACGGUAACAGGGAUCAGCUUGCUGAUUCGCUGACGAGUGGCGGACGGGUGAGUAAUGUCUGGGAAACUGCCUGAUGGAGGGGGAUAACUACUGGAAACGGUAGCUAAUACCGCAUAACGUCGCAAGACCAAAGAGGGGGACCUUCGGGCCUCUUGCCAUCGGAUGUGCCCAGAUGGGAUUAGCUAGUAGGUGGGGUAACGGCUCACCUAGGCGACGAUCCCUAGCUGGUCUGAGAGGAUGACCAGCCACACUGGAACUGAGACACGGUCCAGACUCCUACGAGAGGCAGCAGUGGGGAAUAUUGCACAAUGGGCGCAAGCCUGAUGCAGCCAUGCCGCGUGUAUGAAGAAGGCCUUCGGGUUGUAAAGUACUUUCAGCGGGGAGGAAGGGAGUAAAGUUAAUACCUUUGCUCAUUGACGUUACCCGCAGAAGAAGCACCGGCUAACUCCGUG
rnacentral:rRNA from 1 species